rnacentral:rRNA from 1 species
AUUGAACGCUGGCGGUAUGCUUAAGACAUGCAAGUCGAACGGUAACAGACCUUCGGGUGCUGACGAGUGGCGGACGGGUGAGUAACACGUGGGAAUCUACCUUGUAGUGGGGGAUAAGUCAGGGAAACUUGGACUAAUACCGCAUACGCCCCAAGGGGGAAAGGCGCAAGCCGCUAUAAGACGAGCCCGCGUCGGAUUAGCUAGUUGGUGAGGUAAAAGCUCAUCAAGGCGACGAUCAGUAGCUGGUGUGAGAGGAUGGCCAGCCACAUUGGGACUGAGAAACGGCCCAGACUCCUACGGGAGGCAGCAGUCGGGAAUAUUGGACAAUGGGGGCAACCCUGAUCCAGCAAUACCGCGUGUGUGAAGAAGGCCUGCGGGUUGUAAAGCACUUUUAGUAGGGAAGAUAAUGACGUUACCUACAGAAAAAGCACCGGCUAACUCCGUGCCAGCCGCCGCUGUAAGAC